UCAGCAGGGUUGUCACCACAGACCCCUAAAAACCCCUUUGUGACCCCCAGCUCAUUUUGUACAUAAAUCCCCACAUUAUGAUUCCCAAAGUGAUGAUUCCCAAAGUGAUGGUUCCCAAAGGGAUGAUUCCCAAAGUGAUGGUUCCCAAAGGGAUGGUUCCCAAAGGGAUAAUUCCCAAAGGGAUGGUUCCCAAAGUUUCCCAAAGGACAGAUGAGCAGGGGAAAGCCAGGAGGUGUUUAGCAGCAGAAAGGAGAGACAAGCCACAUCCACAGAAGCAUGGGCCCGAGGAGGAGCCCAGAAAGGUGGCAUGUGUCCCCCGAGAGCUGGGAGCAGAUGAAGCAGACCUGGGAAUCACUGCCCAGCCUGGCAGGAGCCCAGGCCGUGUGUAAACAGGGAAUCAGGCACCUCUGGGAAGGGGCAGCCCCACAGCUCCCAGGGCUGCUCCCCUGGCCCUUCCCAACGUGGGGAGGGGACAGUGGGAAUGGGAGGGGAGGUGGGGGCAGGAAGGGGCAGGAACAUCCCAAUGUAGGGCAGCAUCCCAUGGAGGAGCAGCAUUCCAUGGAGGAGCAGCAUCCCACCACGGAGCAGAAUCCCACCCUGAAGCAGCAUCCCACCACUGAGCAGCAUCCCAGCAACAUUCCAGACCAGCCCCAAGGGAAGGAAGUGCUACCAGGAACUGGGAAAAGAGCAGGACCAAGCGAGGAGAGCAGAGGCACAGAGGUGUAGGAGAAAGGAAAGACCCGGAAAGAAGCGGUCGACUUUGAUUUUCGGAUUUCUGGCUCGCCCUGCACCCGGGCUGGCACCUGCCCUGUGGCAGGAGGCAUUUCAGGCACGUCUAAGGCAUCUCAGGAGCUCUCUUUGCUUUCAGAAUCGCCUCUGUUCCCUCCCUACGGCUUCUUCCACCAGCACGUGGUGCCAAACGCUGGAAAAGAAAAGUCUGGAGCGGAUGAACGGAAUUAAACUCUCAUGCACUACCACUGAAUGUCAUCACAGGGCUAGGAAGCACCAAGCACGACACAGGAACCACUUUUACUUGCAGAACCAAAGCUAACCAUAGAGAGAAUGGUAAAAAGUGGGGUUUGCUGGGGACACAGAGCUGCUGGUGUCCCCUGGACCCACCCCUGCUACGCUACGGCCAGAAAUGAAAAAGCACAAGACCAAACAUUGAGUAACAGCACAGCCACCUAACCUGUCUGCUAUAUAUCUGACAACUUAAAUCAAAAAUAUUAGCUUGGAAAGAAACCAACAAUAUCAUUCCAAGAAGGUUAUACACUCCUUAGCAGUUAACUUUGCUUAGCACAGCUCUGGUGCUUUAAAUAUGGAACAAUCGAACAAUUUUGUGAGCAGAAAAGUGACACAGAUUUAUUCUUUACAUGGGUUUUUUUUUUUUUGUUUUU
rnacentral:lncRNA from 1 species